UGCAUUUGCUGUCACCUGAAA
rnacentral:piRNA from 1 species